rnacentral:lncRNA from 1 species
UAUUAUUUACUUUACUAAAAAUUAAAAAAAAUUAAAAAAAUACUUUAAAAGAUAUUUAUAAAUCGAAAUUGGUUACAAAGUUAAAGACCGGUACACCAAAUAAACUAAACUUAACCAAUUUUUUUUUUAACAAAAUAAAAGCUAAACCUAAAACAAAAACCUAGUCUACGCCUCCAUGAACCGUCUCCCCCACAUCGCCGUAUACAUCUCGUCGACGUGUCAAUCCCGUCGUCCUCCUCCUCCUCUAUUCGUCGUCGCCGUCCUCCUCCAUUGCUGUGUCGACCAAGCUCUCGCACCACCGCUAGUUUUCUCUGCCAUCUCCAUAGAACUACUUCUUCAGAUUCUAUCUUCUUCUUCUUGCUGGGUUCCAUCUCCACCACCCCCGGUAGCUUCUUCUGCCAUCUCCACACCACGGCUUCUUCAGAUCUCGGGCUCCGUCGCAAGAUGUUGUUGAUUUCGUCGCCUUCCUUUCCCUAUAAAAGAAUCAAACACACAAACACAAAUGAUUUCGUCGCCUUCCAUUCCCUACAAAAGAAUCAAACACACAAACACAAUUAGAAAAUGAGAAGCCAACACAUGAACUUUAUCAAUCUUAAAAAAAAAAAAAAGAAUUGAAUAGAAACAGAGAUUGUCGUAAGGAGAAGAUAGAAGAGAGAUUGAGAGAGAUUGAUAAUUUUUAGAAAGAGAAAAUGAAAGAUCUACAAAUCUGAAAAAGAAAAAGAACAGAUCUGAACCGUCAGAUUUAAUCUCAUCCAACGGAUGAAGAGGUGAUCCGUGUGCUUAAAGUUUUGGCCAAUUUCAUUGUUCUAGCACACUAAAAAGGAAGUCUUCGUUGUUUUUGUACGAUAACUCUUAUUGUUUUUGGUUAUGUAUACAUG